ACAGCAGUCGCCGCGGGAAUACAGAGGGUGCAAGCGUUAAUCGGAAUUACUGGGCGUAAAGCGCGCGUAGGUGGUUUGUUAAGUUGGAUGUGAAAUCCCCGGGCUCAACCUGGGAACUGCAUCCAAAACUGGCAAGCUAGAGUAUGGUAGAGGGUGGUGGAAUUUCCUGUGUAGCGGUGAAAUGCGUAGAUAUAGGAAGGAACACCAGUGGCGAAGGCGACCACCUGGACUGAUACUGACACUGAGGUGCGAAAGCGUGGGGAGCAAACAGGAUUAGAUACCCCCGUAGUCCCUGUCUCUUAUAC
rnacentral:rRNA from 1 species